CAACGCACCUCUUCCCCUUUCUCCAUUCACGCGUAGCAGCAGUAGGGAAAAAGGAACCAAGCAGCAGCCUCCAUUCCUCCUCUUCAACGCUGCGCAGUCCCAACCCCCUUCUUCACUGUCCUGCUGCGCAGCCAUCACACACAUACGGUUUCCCCUCCUCCCAUGAAAGAAACCGAAACAGAAGCAGAGAAGGGAGAGGGAGUCUGUGUCGCGCCAGGAGAAGAAGACAAGGGGAGGGAGGAGAACCGCGGCGACGCGUCGGGCUUCACCACCGCCGUCGCUUCGCGUCGCCGGAUCGCCGCGCAUGAGGAGCCAUGUCAUCGCGCCACCCAGUCGCCGGUCUGCUGCCUCUAUUUCUGCCGCUGUGCCAUGGAGAAGAGAGAGCCGCGCCGCACCUCAGUCACUGCUAACCCACCGAAGCUGGCGCGCGAAAAGAGGGAAAGGGACGCUGCCUUGCGUCGUCGAAGCUGGGUGGUUGCUAUCUUUGUCAGUAGCAGGAGAGGAUGAGACGCGAUGAUGGUGGGUGGUUCCGCCGCCCUUGCUGACGUGCCGUCAGAAUCUGCCGCCAUGGCCGCCGGAGCUUCGGGCUGAGCUUCUGCCAGUUGAGACUUUGCUGUCAUGUGUUCCACCGUCGAUACCGA